CAUGGUGGAGGCAAAAUAUGCUGAUUCCAAGGAGAAGGUCAAAGCUGAGGUGAAGAAGGUGGUUGCAGUUAGCCUGACAUCUGACAUGUGGACGUGCAUCAACAUGGAUGCCUACCUGGCAGUAACUUGCCACUUUGUGGACAACAACACCAGUCUCAAUUCGGUGUUGUUAGAAGUAGUACAAUUCCCCCAGAUGGUGCUGCUAAUAUGAUAGCUUGUGGCAGGGAACUGAGGCUCCGUCACACAAUCUGCAUUGCACACACUCUUAACCUGAUAAAAAAAAGCUCUUGACCAGACCCCUGUGCUCUCUGACAUCCGGGCCAAGGCUAGGAGGCUGGUGGGAUACUUCAGAAGCAGCACCACUGCUAAGGAAAAGCUUGUACAGCUGCAACAGCAGAUGGGAAGGGCUACACUGAAGCUCCUUCAGGAGGUAGAGACCCGCUGGAACAGCACAUUUCAAAUGCUGCACUGUCUGGUGGAGCUCAAAGAGCCAGUGGGGGCAGCUUUAGCCAGUCUUGCCACUGAGAUACCACCACUGAGCUCUAAUGAAUUUACCUCUGUGAGUGCAUGCCUUUCACUGCUUUCUGGCUUUAAUGAUGCCACCGUGGAGUUGUCAGAAGAAAAAAAGGUUUCUGGCUCUAAGGUACUGCUUAAAAUGCUAGAAGUAAUGCUGCAUGAAGAUAUGUCAAAUUUGGCAUGUCCAGUGGCAAGACAAAUGGGAGAGCAUCUUCAAAGACAGUUAAGGGAGAAGCUUUACACAUUGCAAUCUAUGAGCAUCAUGUCACUUGCAACAAUGCUGGACCCUAGGUUCAAAGCAAUAGGAUUUUUUAGUCCUACAAAAGCAAAUGGGUGUCACGGUCCCACCGUCUUGUUAAUGAAAUUCUAGUCGUGUGGUGGGAUCGGGGCAGAGUCCUUGGGUUUUAUGUGGGAAGGCCAUGAGAUGUUUAUGUUUUUACCUCUCAUGUGUUUUUCCAGUGUCUCGUCUCUGUUCCCGCCAUCUCGUUUCCUCGUUAUCUUUCCCUGAGUGUUUAAUGUCCCACACCUGCCCCAUGUAAUUAUCCUUCGUUUGUCUUCCCUAUAUAUACCCUCUUGUUUCUUUGUCUUGUGCUCUUGUACUGUGUUGUGUACUGUGGUCUUGCUACCCGUGGUCCUGUUCGUGUUUUGUGAGUUUUGUUCAUUGUAUUAUUUAAGACGUUUGGUUGUGUCGUUUAGUUUAGUUUUACUGGUCUUGUUUUCAUUUUGCCCCCUCGUGGGAAGUCUUUUGUUUUAUAUUUAUUCCUUAGUUCUGUUUUCCCCCCAUUGUGGGUGUUUUUUGUUCUGUUUUGUUGUUAAAUAAAGUCAUUUGUUAACCCCUUCACUGCCUGCCUGCAUUUGGGUUCUUCCCCUUACCAAUCAUGACAAUGAGGCUAUAAAAAGGCUUACAUCAGAGUGUGCUGCCAUAAUUGGCUCUGCAGCUCAACCAUCAGCAUCACAGCCAACAACAACACAGGGGGCUGAACUUGUAUCCCCAGGUAACAGACUGUGGCGUCGUUUGGAUGACAGUGUGAUGGUGUCAAGGGGAAGGCACAACCUUACAGCAGAUGCUACUGUGGAAGUCCAGGGUAUCUUGCCGAACAAAAUAUUGGGCGAUUGGAGGACCCACUUCAGUACUGGGAGAGACAGAAGAUUAAAUAUCCACAUCUGUAUAUGCUUGCUGUCAAGUAUUUAUGUACACCGGAUUCAUCUGUGCCAUGCGAAAGGGUGUUUUCAAAGGCAGGAGAAGUUGUGUAAAAAAAAAAGAAGCCUUAGCCCUGAAACAGUUGAGAAAAUAAUAUUCUUGAAUACAAACUCCUAAAGUAUAUCCUGUUCAUCAUUUUCCUUGUUGCACAAGCAACAUCACAGUCCUCUGCCAAGUUAAACCCAGACACUUUUCAGUUUUAUAAUAAUAAUUCUGCCUCUUAUGACCAAAACAUUUAUUUACACACAUUUCAUAGUCCCAUUCAUUUCAAGCCAACAUGUUUACUACACAGUUAUGUGUACAAUCAUUAUAUACCACCAGGAAAAACACAUAGACUAAUACAAUGCAUUAGUCUAUGUGGAAAUUAUUUUUUUCCUCCACCGUUAUUUCUAAGCCUUAAAUGGCACAAAACACAGUGUAUCACAGACGACAUCAGGCACAUCUGUAAUGUAUCUGCCUGUUUUACACUCUUUUGGCCACCAGAUGGUAUUGUGAGCAAAUGAAGCCUCGAGAAAUGAACCCUUUUGUGAACCACUUGGCUGAAAAGCUUCAAUGCUUCAUGAGGCUUCAUCUCGCCAUCACUACACGCAACCCCCUUAAUAUACACACUUCAACAGAGGGUCACAAGACUCAAACGUAAAGUAAACGCCCAGCAUUAUUAAAUGCCAUUUAGGGACUAACCUCACGCCAAACGAAGGCAAACACAACCGCACAUGUAAACCCAAACGCGCAUACCUACACGCGUCCCUCGGCACAAGGCGGAAGAGAGAGAGAGCGAGCAACACAGACCGAUUCCCUUAAAUAAUUUCAACAGCGCCCCCACCAGCCUUAACGGGGGAAAUGACGCUAAUGCCUGCUCAAUUUUGUUAGAAAUGCAUACUGGAUUAUAAGAAUAAUUUAAAUUUAAAAUAUAUCUUUUUGAUAUGCCGAUAUAAUGUUUUACAAAAAUAUCUCAUGCAUACUAAUAAUACAGAACAAUUAAUAUUCAUACUUUCACGGAAAAAGGGAAUCACGCUACGAUAAAAAGCUGACAUAAUUCCUGUAACAUAAUUACAUGUUUCAGUUUUCAUAUGCGUAUAAUGCAAGCAAAUAAUAGCAAUAGUAAUAGCAAUAGCAAUAGUAAUAGCAAAUAAUAGUAAAACGUUUAAAUGUUUCAACUAUUCCAUGUACUACAGGUUUUUUGCCAGAUCAACUUCACUUUCUUUUUCAAGGAAAAACUAACCUAAAUGCUGUGUUUAGUAAAAAUACACCUAUACUGUAAACUACACCUUGUCAGCCUUAUAUUCAACUCACAGGGCCUGAAUACACAUUUUGUGAGAAACUGGUGAUAAUGUACAAGAAUAAAUAUCACAUACACAAAUAGCAAAAAGAAUAGAUAUGUAAUAAAAUGGGAAAAUGAAGAAGUAUAUUUUGGAUGUAAAAUCUGUUUUUUAUUAAAUCAAAGCAAACAUACAAUAACCCAAGAACAUGGCCACAAACAAACUAAUAACAACGAGAUCUCGUGCGAAAAAUGAGACAAUGAUACUUGACGAUUGAACAUAAACUCAAAACAAUGAACAGGUGAGAAGUUUAUAUACUGUUUUGUACGAAAUAAAAUAACUAUGUUAAACUAAUUACAGCUGAGAAGUGAAAAAGUUAACAAACAUAAAUAUAUUAAAAUGAAAACUAAAAAAUAAUGAAAUCGAAAGACGUGUCGAUGUUAUCGCUGUCUGUAAAUUAUGUUUGAAAAUGAAGAAGCUGACCUACAUUUACUGGCUAGCAAGUGAAAUGUAGACUAAUGCUUAAAGCGGAGCUAUCGUGCUAUGUCACACAUUCUGACUUUUUUACACUGUUAAACGCGCUGGCUUAACAUGGUCAACUUGUUAAAAAACGAUUUGGACCUAUGACAUAGUAGUUCUGUACUUGAUACACUCCACCAGAACUCCAACUUGUUUCGGGAAGUUUUUUCUAAUUAUGGAUCCCUGUGUCGUCACAGGGAAUCUAUUCCUUCUAUUGUCCAUUCUCCCGGGAAAGCACGGCAAGGCAAAGGCGAAAGAGCCCGCCCACGAGCCAACCGACGAGCGAGUCCCGCUUACCAUCAUGAUUGUGCGCGCUGCGUCAAGAUGGGCUGCGCUGCAGCUCGUUCCUCUUGCGAUAGUGAAGUUUAGGUGUGUCUGUUUGUUCACGGCAUUUCAGUGAUGGAUGUUAUAUAAACGGUGCAUAUAACGCUGGAUUUAGAGAUCCUUUGAAACUGAUAGAUGGCGUGGUCCCAGUGCUAAAAAAUGCCGGACAUGAACUGCACGUGGUAAGUCAAACUAUGUCAUAAAUCUGUCUUUUCUUGGCAAUCGGCGUGUACCUGCAUAAUGUAAAAAACAUGAAGGGAUUAAUGUGAUGAUUAGGGCUGCAGCUAUCGAUUCUUUUACUAAUCAAGUAUUCUACUGAUUUUCCAUCAAUUAAAUGGGGUAUUAGGAUAAUAAGUACUUUUUCUUUAUUAAAAAGCAAUACUAAAUAUACAAGAGAAAAUAAGACAUGUCUCUCAAAAUGAUUAAAACAACUAAUUUGUUUUCUUUUUAGAACAAUUAAAGUUUUUAUUGCUGAAAUUGCAUACAUUAAUAUCUGUGAAAUCU